rnacentral:rRNA from 1 species
GCUUAACACAUGCAAGUCGAACGGUGAAGCCCAGCUUGCUGGGUGGAUCAGUGGCGAACGGGUGAGUAACACGUGAGCAACCUGCCCCGGACUCUGGGAUAAGCGCUGGAAACGGCGUCUAAUACUGGAUACGAGACGCAACCGCAUGGUUAGUGUCUGGAAAGAUUUUUCGGUCUGGGAUGGGCUCGCGGCCUAUCAGCUUGUUGGUGAGGUAAUGGCUCACCAAGGCGUCGACGGGUAGCCGGCCUGAGAGGGUGACCGGCCACACUGGGACUGAGACACGGCCCAGACUCCUACGGGAGGCAGCAGUGGGGAAUAUUGCACAAUGGGCGGAAGCCUGAUGCAGCAACGCCGCGUGAGGGAUGACGGCCUUCGGGUUGUAAACCUCUUUUAGCAAGGAAGAAGCGAAAGUGACGGUACUUGCAGAAAAAGCGCCGGCUAACUACGUGCCAGCAGCCGCGGUAAUACGUAGGGCGCAAGCGUUAUCCGGAAUUAUUGGGCGUAAAGAGCUCGUAGGCGGUCUGUCGCGUCUGCUGUGAAA